rnacentral:rRNA from 1 species
AUUAAAGUUGUUGCAGUUAAAAAGCUCGUAGUCGAAUCACUGGGCCUCGUGAGCUUGGUCUGCCGGAAGGUGUGUACUGGUUUGCGUGCCCAUAUUGCCACGCAGCAAGGGCUGUCCUUAACUGGAUGGCCUGUCGCUGUGUGGCCGUUUACUUUGAAAAAAUCCGAGUGUUUAAAGCAAGCGUUAUGCAUGAAGAGAUUAGCAUGGGAUAAUGGAAUAGGGCUCUGCUCUAGUUUCGUUGGUUUAAUGGAGCGGUGUAAUGAUAAAUAGAAAUAGUUGGGGGUAUUCAUAUUCAGUUGUCAGAGGUGAAAUUCUUGGAUUUACGGAAGAUGAACUUCUGCGAAAGCAUUUAUCAAGGAUGUUUUCAUUGAUCAAGAACGAAAGUUUGGGGAUCGAAGACGAUCAGAUACCGUCGUAGUCCAAACUAUAAACGAUGCCGACCAGAGAUAGAGAGACGUUGCAUGGAUGACUCCCUCCGCAACUUGAGAGAAAUCAUAAGUCUUUGGGUUCCGGGGGGAGUAUGGUCACGCUGAAACUUAAAGGAAUUGACGGAAGGGCACACCAGGAGUGGAGCCUGCGGCUUAAUUUGACCCAACACGGGGAAACUUACCAAGUCCAGACACAGUAAGGAUUGACAGAUUAAGAGCUCUUUCUUGAUUCUGUGGGUGGUGGUGCAUGGCCGUUCUUAGUUGGUGGAGUGAUUUGUCUGGUUAAUUCCGUUAACGAACGAGAUCUCAACCUAUUAACUAGUGGGAUCCAUCGCCUAACGGGUGAAGCUGGUUAAUACCGUGUCUGGCUUGCCAGAUGCGGUUUAGCCAGUGGAUCCUUGGCGAAUGGGUAAAACUUCUUAGAGGGACUAUUGGGGACUACCCAAUGGAAGUGAGGCAAUAACAGGUCUGUGAUGCCCUUAGAUGUCUUGGGCUGCACGCGCGCUACACUGGCAGGUACGAGAGAGUCUCCUAGGCCUAAAGGUUUGGGGACUCUCUAGUAUCUGCCGUGCUGGGGAUAGAUCAUUGCAAUUAUUGGUCUUCAACGAGGAAUUCCUAGUAAGCGCAAUUCAUCAGAUUGCGCUGAUUACGUCCCUGCCCUUUGUACACACCGCCCGUCGCUCCUACCGAUUGAAUGAUCCGAUGAAAUCUUUGGACCGUGACUGUCACAGUAGCAAUACUGUGCGUUUCGGGAAGCUGAGUAAAUCUUAUCAUUUAGAGGAAGGAGAAGCCGUAACAAGGUCUCCGUAGGUGAACCUGCGGAGG